AUUCCGUGAUGAGGGUACUUUCGUAAUAAUUCUUUGUACCUUUCCCAUGUCUCAUACAAGGACUCAUCAUCCAUUUGUUGGAAAACGGUGAUCUCGUUUCUCAACUU
rfam:Gossypium arboreum cultivar AKA8401 contig_17860_1, whole genome shotgun sequence.